UUGCCACACGAAGGUGAAGCCUGGGACCUGGAGCUAGGAAUGGACUGGAGUGAAAUGGUGAAGGGUGUCAGACAUCUGGAUUUGAAUCUGGAUUCCACCACUUCUGACUGUGUGACCUUAGGCGGCUGAAAGAAAAGAAUUUUGAAGUCCUAGAAGGCAGAAGCGUAGAUGGAAGAAACCUAUUUUUCCACAUUACAUGGAGUUUGCCCACCCGACGUGACUCAGAAUGAACUGAACCCUGUGUUCACAGCAGCAUGGUUCACGAUGGCCAGGACGGGGGACACCUGGAGGCCCGUGAUAUUGUGUGUGUGGAGUGUGUGCUCCGUGGAAGGCCGCUCAGCUGCCAGAAAGGAUGAACUCUUGCCUUUUGCGACGACAUACUUGGAA